UAACCCUUGGACGCUCUUCCUUGUUCCUGACAAAUGACUCAGGUCUCGUGGGGGAUGUACCAAAGCAGGAGAGCCUUGCAAUGUUCAUUUGAUUACUUAACAGUUAGCACGACCAUAUUGUGUAUUUGUUGGCAUGACACAUUCGCCUUCGUUUGGGGUUAUGGCUUCGGAAGAUGAAACACAUGAAGUCAUCAAGUUAUUCAGAUGAAUGUUGGAGAACUUGCUGAUCCAGUCUGAAUAUAAAGUUGGAGGCGGUUCCAUAAUAUUGAGGAAGGUAGACAUGGGAAUGCUGUGUAGCAUACAUCGACAUGUGUGAACCAGCAGUUGGACUGCAGGAUUCUUCAGCAUUUUGUCACAGCAAGUGCAAGCACCUCGUAUGUGUCAUCAUGGCGGACAAAGAAGACAUUAAUGUGAGAGUACAGUAGAGACUGGAAUAUUGCUGUCUAUCUGGGCCCGACCCACCUGCCUCUCCCAGAAACAGUUUUAACCAGAAGAACCACCAUCUUUGGUAGUCAUAUCCAGACUAGCAUCUAAAAAGAUGCAAAGUAACGCUUUGAUCAGCAUUUUAUUUCUCUUUUUAAGACAGUUAAACAGGGGUUGCUUAUGAGU